GACAAGAUGGCCGAGUGGUCCAAGGCGCUGCAUUUAAGCUGCAGUGGGGAAACCCGCGCGAGUUCGAACCUCGCUCUUGUCA